ensembl:lncRNA
GGAGGAUCGGCAUGUUACCAAUCUCCCCGGAAGAUAUCUAGCAGAUAAGAGCAGACAACACCUGGCGACACUGCAGCCUCAAUCAACUAUCCGAGGAGUGUAACAGCGAGGUCUAUUUAUAUGGGAUGGCGCAAAAGAUUUUUGAGACCUUCUGGAUCUGGCCCCAGAUCAUCCACGACACCCAUGUGACUGAGAGACUAGCAUGUGGGUUGGCAAAAAACACAAAUCGCACAUCUCCAGCUCUUACAUCCAUAGCUCAGGCAAUGGCCGCCCUUGAUUCAGGACUAACCCAGACUAAGAUGGCGAUUGACCUCCUUCUAGCUCCCACCGGCCUAGGCUGUGCAGAAAUGGAAGAGCAGCUGGGAAUGGAAGGCUUUUGCUGUCUUGACUUCAGCGCCAACGCUAUAACUGCUAUCGACAAAGUAAGAAAGGAGGCCAAAGACAUUGCCAAAUCGGUACUAAAGAUUGGAAUAGAUAACAGCAGAGGAGCUGUCUGACAAAAUGAUAAGUGACGUGGAAGAGCAUGUGAAGAAAAGGUGUGUCAUUGAACUCCUCCAUGCAGAAAAACUG